CACAUGUACAUCUGUCAAGUAUUAACACAGUUCAAUGAAUGAUUACUGUCCUUGGAAUAAAAUCAACAGUUCCCCUUGACUGUGCUUGUAUAAUCUCAUUUAAUGCUUUUUAUAUAUAGAAUGUACAUGUAUAUAUGCAUCUAAACUAAAUUAUUGAAGGUAAAUAUACACAUAAAAAUAUAAGAUAUAAAAAAGUUGAAAAUGCAAAAUCAAAAAUAAAAGUGUGGCGUGAGGCGGCUUCAAACCAAGGCAAAACAUAAUCAGAGUAUAUACAUGAACAGCCAGUGGUGCAACUGAUUAAGCUAUUCUAAGCACAAGCAAUACUAGUGUAAUAUGAACCUGGGAUUUUCAAAAACAGUACCCUUAAUUUUUUUGUUGGUUGCAUUUUUAUUGAUAAGAUUCAUGGUUUUACCAUUUGCUGUGGUUUCUUCGUUAUUUCAUUGGGUGAUGAAGGUAGCAAUCAUUGCAUAAAAAAUGUGAAUAACCCCUUUACACAGGUUAAAUACAUUUUUUCUGCAAUGCUAGCUACCUUUGUUGAUUUUAAUUGACAUUGUAAAAUUGAGGAAUCAAGUACAUUAAAUUUACCUAUAUCUUCACUAAUGUCAUUGCAGUGGUAGGUACUCGUGAGUUUUAUACAUUUACGUACAUCUUCACUAAUGUCAUUGCAGUGGUACGUACUCGUGAGUUUUAAUGUGCUAUUUAAAUGACC